rnacentral:misc_RNA from 1 species
AACAACUCAACUCAUGACCAAAACAAGCAACAUUUAAAGAAUACAAUUGAAAUACCAUAAAAAAAUUAUAUUCAAACAAUAAGAAAUAAAUAAAGACUUCGACAUUAGAAAGGGCAUUAUGGUGCCAUAGCUAGAAAAUUCCAAAUUUGAUGUAGGAAUUGGAUGGUAUAUUUGAGUUGUGACUUAAAAAGGAACACAGCGAGAAUUUGGCUAUGCAGCGAUGAAAAUUCAAAAGAUGCUAGUGGUCCAAUCAUAAUAGUUUGGUUUUACUAUGCUAUUUGGUAUACAUAUUUUAUUGUUCAUAUAUUAUUCAUAUUUUUGUUUAUUAAAGAAAUGUAAAUCUACAACGAUCCUACUGUUGAAUCAAGGAAUUUAUUAAAUGAAUAGUCAGCAUUUG